rnacentral:lncRNA from 1 species
CCGAACCAACAUCCAAUCCCCAAAAUCCUCAGUAGCAGCGGGAUUGACAGGCAAACUCUCAGGCAUUUUGUAAGUCUCACGGUUCAGCUCAUGACCAACAACAGCACAUUGCUGAUUAACAGAAUAAGGCUGAUUAACCUGCGUUGGUUUAAUACUAGGACAAGUUUCCUUCAUAUGCCCAUACUUACCACACUCAAAGCACACCAUAUGCAAACCCUCAUAUUCAAUCCGGCGAACUCUA